rnacentral:rRNA from 1 species
CGGACGGGUGAGUAACGCGUGGGUAACCUGCCUUGUACAGGGGGAUAACAGUUGGAAACGGCUGCUAAUACCGCAUAAGCGCACGGCAUCGCAUGAUGCAGUGUGAAAACUCCGGUGGUAUAAGAUGGACCCGCGUUGGAUUAGCUAGUUGGUGAGGUAACGGCCCACCAAGGCGACGAUCCAUAGCCGACCUGAGAGGGUGACCGGCCACAUUGGGACUGAGACACGGCCCAA